rnacentral:rRNA from 1 species
CAGGGAUUGCCCUAGUAACGGCGAGUGAAGCGGCAACAGCUCAAAUUUGAAAUCUGGCCCUCGGGUCCGAAUUGUAAUUUGUAGAGGAUGUUUUUGGUGCGGUAUCUUCCGAGUUCCUUGGAACAGGACGCCUUAGAGGGUGAGAGCCCCGUACGGUUGAAUGCCUAGCCUUUGUAAAACUCCUUCGACGAGUCGAGUAGUUUGGGAAUGCUGCUCUAAAUGGGAGGUAAAUUUCUUCUAAAGCUAAAUACCGGCCAGAGACCGAUAGCGCACAAGUAGAGUGAUCGAAAGAUGAAAAGCACUUUGAAAAGAGGGUUAAAUAGCACGUGAAAUUGUUGAAAGGGAAGGAUUCAUGACCAGACUUUUUCUAGGCGAAUCAUCCGGUGUUCUCACCGGUGCACUUCGUUUAGUUUAGGCCAGCAUCGAUUUUCGGGGUGGGAUAAAAGCUUUAGGAAUGUGGCUCCCUCGGGAGUGUUAUAGCCUAUUGUAUAAUACCGCCCUGGGGAUCGAGGUACGCGCUUCUGCAAGGAUGCUGGCGUAAUGGUUAUCAAUCACCCGUCUUGAAACACGGACCAAGGAGUCGAACAUUUGUGCAAGUGUUUGGGUGUUAAACCCUCACGCGUAAUGAAAGUGAACGGAGGUGAGAGCCCUUACGGGUGCAUCAUCGACCGAUCCUGAUGUCUUCGGAUGGAUUUGAGUAAGAGCAUAACUGUUCGGACCCGAAAGAUGGUGAACUAUGCGUGGAUAGGGUGAAGCCAGAGGAAACUCUGGUGGAGGCUCGCAGCGGUUCUGACGUGCAAAUCGAUCGUCAAAUCUGCGCAUGGGG